AGAGCGAACGCUGGCGGCAGGCCUAACACAUGCAAGUCGAGCGGCCGUAGCAAUACGGCAGCGGCAGACGGGAGAGUAACACGUGGGAACGCGCCCUUCGGUUCGGGAUAACUCAGGGAAACUUGGGCUAAUACCGGAUACGCCCUUACGGGGAAAGAUUUAUUGCCGAAGGAACGGCCCGCGUCCGAUUAGCUUGUUGGUGAGGUAACGGCUCACCAAGGCGACGAUCGGUAGCUGGUCUGAGAGGAUGACCAGCCUCACUGGGACUGAGACACGGCCCAGACUCCUACGGGAGGCAGCAGUGGGGAAUAUUGGACAAUGGGCGCAAGCCUGAUCCAGCCAUGCCGCGUGGGUGAUGAAGGCCCUAGGGUUGUAAAGCCCUUUCGAGCGGGGAAGAUAAUGACGGUACCCGCAGAAGAAGCCCCGGCUAACUUCGUGCCAGCAGCCGC
rnacentral:rRNA from 1 species